CGUGGGAAACCUGCCCAGAAGCGGGGGAUAACACCUGGAAACAGAUGCUAAUACCGCAUAACAACUUGGACCGCAUGGUCCGAGCUUGAAAGAUGGCUUCGGCUAUCACUUUUGGAUGGUCCCGCGGCGUAUUAGCUAGAUGGUGGGGUAACGGCUCACCAUGGCAAUGAUACGUAGCCGACCUGAGAGGGUAAUCGGCCACAUUGGGACUGAGACACGGCCCAAACUCCUACGGGAGGCAGCAGUAGGGAAUCUUCCACAAUGGACGAAAGUCUGAUGGAGCAACGCCGCGUGAGUGAAGAAGGGUUUCGGCUCGUAAAACUCUGUUGUUAAAGAAGAACAUAUCUGAGAGUAACUGUUCAGGUAUUGACGGUAUUUAACCAGAAAGCCACGGCUAACUACGUGCCAGCAGCCGCGGUAAUACGUAGGUGGCAAGCGUUGUCCGGAUUUAUUGGGCGUAAAGCGAGCGCAGGCGGUUUUUUAAGUCUGAUGUGAAAGCCUUCGGCUCAACCGAAGAAGUGCAUCGGAAACUGGGAAACUUGAGUGCAGAAGAGGACAGUGGAACUCCAUGUGUAGCGGAGAAAUGCGUAGAUAUAUGGAAGAACACCAGCGGCAAAAGCGGCUGUCUGGUCUGUAACUGACGCUGAGGCUCGAAAGUAUGGGUAGCAAACAGGAUUAGAUACCCUGGUAGUCCAUACCGUAAACGAUGAAUGCUAAGUGUUGGAGGGUUUCCGCCCUUCAGUGCUGCAGCUAACGCAUUAAGCAUUCCGCCUGGGGAGUACGGCCGCAAGGCUGAAACUCAAAGGAAUUGACGGGGGCCCGCACAAGCGGUGGAGCAUGUGGUUUAAUUCGAAGCUACGCGAAGAACCUUACCAGGUCUUGACAUACUAUGCAAAUCUAAGAGAUUAGACGUUCCCUUCGGGGACAUGGAUACAGGUGGUGCAUGGUUGUCGUCAGCUCGUGUCGUGAGAUGUUGGGUUAAGUCCCGCAACGAGCGCAACCCUUAUUAUCAGUUGCCAGCAUUAAGUUGGGCACUCUGGUGAGACUGCCGGUGACAAACCGGAGGAAGGUGGGGAUGACGUCAAAUCAUCAUGCCCCUUAUGACCUGGGCUACACACGUGCUACAAUGGAUGGUACAACGAGUUGCGAACUCGCGAGAGUAAGCUAAUCUCUUAAAGCCAUUCUCAGUUCGGAUUGUAGGCUGCAACUCGCCUACAUGAAGUCGGAAUCGCUAGUAAUCGCGGAUCAGCAUGCCGCGGUGAAUA
rnacentral:rRNA from 1 species